UACGUAGGGGGCUAGCGUUGUCCGGAUUUAUUGGGCGUAAAGAGCGUGUAGGCGGCCAGGUAGGUCUGCUGUGAAAACUCGAGGCUCAACCUCGAGACGUCGGCGGAAACCAUCUGGCUAGAGUCCGGAAGAGGAGAGUGGAAUUCCUGGUGUAGCGGUGAAAUGCGCAGAUAUCAGGAGGAACACCGGCGGCGAAGGCGGCUCACUGGCCAUAUACUGACGCUGAAAACACGAAAGCGUGGGUAGCAAAACAGG
rnacentral:rRNA from 1 species